rnacentral:rRNA from 1 species
UACGUAGGGUGCGAGCGUUGUCCGGAAUUAUUGGGCGUAAAGAGCUCGUAGGCGGUUUGUCGCGUCGAAUGUGAAAUCCCGGGGCUCAACUCCGGGCCUGCAUUCGAUACGGGCAGACUAGAGUUCGGUAGGGGAGUCUGGAAUUCCUGGUGUAGCGGUGAAAUGCGCAGAUAUCAGGAGGAACACCGGUGGCGAAGGCAGAUCUCUGGGCCGUAACUGACGCUGAGGAGCGAAAGCAUGGGGAGCGAACAGG